rnacentral:rRNA from 1 species
UACGUAGGGUGCAAGCGUUAAUCGGAAUUACUGGGCGUAAAGCGUGCGCAGGCGGUUAUGUAAGACAGGUGUGAAAUCCCCGGGCUUAACCUGGGAACUGCAUUUGUGACUGCAUAGCUAGAGUACGGUAGGAGGGGAUGGAAUUCCGCGUGUAGGCAGUGAAAUGCGUAGAUAUGACUGGAGGAACACCGAUGGCGAAGG